rnacentral:rRNA from 1 species
CACAGGGCGGAAGCUGAUGCUUCGACGCCGCGUGAGGGAUGAAGGCCUUCGGGUUGUAAACCUCUUUCAGCAGGGACGAAGCGUGAGUGACGGUACCUGCAGAAGAAGCACCGGCUAACUACGUGCCAGCAGCCGCGGUAAUACGUAGGGUGCGAGCGUUGUCCGGAAUUACUGGGCGUAAAGAGUUCGUAGGCGGUUUGUCGCGUCGUUUGUGAAAACCCGGGGCUCAACUUCGGGCUUGCAGGCGAUACGGGCAGACUUGAGUGUUUCAGGGGAGACUGGAAUUCCUGGUGUAGCGGUGAAAUGCGCAGAUAUCAGGAGGAACACCGGUGGCGAAGGCGGGUCUCUGGGAAACAACUGACGCUGAGGAACGAAAGCGUGGGUAGCAAACAGGAUUAGAUACCCUGGUAGUCCACGCCGUAAACGGUGGGCGCUAGGUGUGGGUUCCUUCCACGGGAUCUGUGCCGUAGCUAACGCAUUAAGCGCCCCGCCUGGGGAGUACGGCCGCAAGGCUAAAACUCAAAGGAAUUGACGGGGGCCCGCACAAGCGGCGGAGCAUGUGGAUUAAUUCGAUGCAACGCGAAGAACCUUACCUGGGUUUGACAUACACCAGACCGGCUCAGAGAUGGGGUUCCCUUGUGGCUGGUGUACAGGU